UCUCUUCAACAGGUGAAAACUGCGGUGGAAAAUCACAGACUGCAGAGCUCUGUAGUGCUGCCUCCUCUUGUCAUAUACGUGUGCUUUUACAGGAUUAACACAAAGUUUAUCGAGUAAACAUUGCCAAGGGAGGAUUCCCGGUGCUCAGAUAGUGAAAUACAUUGAGGAUUCAACUGACUGCAAGAGUUGACUGCAUAGCUGCAAGGCCCAGCUGCUUUUUAACUGCCUGUAGUCGAGCAAGAGUGCUGCAACUGGCAUGGGACUUUGGAAAGCCAAGUACUUCACUAUGACAUUGUUGUUCUGUCGCCAUCCAGGACUUCUCUCAGGAGCAGUACAGUAAAUAUGUUUUUCAGGGAGAUAGAAAAGCUCUUCCAUUAAGUCUUGUCUGCAACACUGACCAGCACUGGAUGCUUAUGAAGAGGACAUGCAUUGAAACACGGAGCUUAAGAGCCAGACAAGGAUAAGUGUGAGAUAUUUUCUGGUCCAAAGGAAUGUCAUUCUCCAUUUAAUCUUUAUUAAAGAUAAGUCAGCUGGUUGAGUGUCGGAGGCGUGUCCAAGGCACAGGGGACGUGCCGGGGCAGAGAAGCCCAAAGGAGCAUGCGUCUAAA